rnacentral:rRNA from 1 species
UACGAAGGGGGCUAGCGUUGCUCGGAAUCACUGGGCGUAAAGCGCACGUAGGCGGCUUUUUAAGUCAGGGGUGAAAUCCUGGAGCUCAACUCCAGAACUGCCUUUGAUACUGGGAAGCUUGAGUCCGGGAGAGGUGAGUGGAACUCCGAGUGUAGAGGUGAAAUUCGUAGAUAUUCGGAAGAACACCAGUGGCGAAGGCGGCUCACUGGCCCGGUACUGACGCUGAGGUGCGAAAAGCGUGGGGGAGCAAAACAGG